rnacentral:rRNA from 1 species
UAUGUGAUCGUCUCUCGCAUAUCAAUAAGCGGAGGAAAAGAAACUAACAAGGAUUCCCCUAGUAACGGCGAGUGAAGCGGGAAGAGCUCAAAUUUGAAAUCUUAAAGGGUUUCCCUUUACGAAUUGUAGUUUAAAGAAGUGUUUUCUGUUGAGGUUUUGGUAAAAGUUCUUUGGAAUAGGACAUCAUAGAGGGUGAGAAUCCCGUAUUUGACCUUUACUUUCAACUUUGUGAUACACUUUCAAAGAGUCGGAUUGUUUGGGAAUGCAGUCCAAAAUGGGUGGUAAAUUUCAUCUAAAGCUAAAUAUUGGCGAGAGACCGAUAGCGAACAAGUACCGUGAGGGAAAGAUGAAAAGAACUUUGAAAAGAGAGUUAAACAGUACGUGAAAUUGUCAAAAGGGAAGCGUUUGACACCAGUGUUGUUUUUCUGAAAAUCAAUUAAAGAACUGUUUAUGCUAAGUUGUUUAGACUUUAUCAGCUAACUGUUUAGAUUUAGGCUUUUCUUUAAUGCACUUUUCAGUUAACAAGUCAACAUCAAUUUCUUUUGCUGUAAAAAAGCUUGAGGAAGGUGGCUUGAGAUUCGUCUUAAGUGUUUAUAGCCUCUUGCCUAUGCAGUCGGAGAGAUUGAGGUCUGCAGCGUAGAUCCUUCGGGGCUAAAUGCAUUUGUGCUAAGUUAUAGCAUUUUAUAGACAACUUGUUGACUAUGAUUUGUCUUGUAGCUUACUCGCUUAUGUUAUUUUACCUACGCUUAGGAUGUUGACACACGCGCGUGCUCG